CAAUAAAAACAGAAGCGAAAUAAUCUAUUGUUCCGCUUUAAAAAAAAAAAACACCCUCCCUCAUCGAUUUUUUUUUUUAAAGAGUGAUAAUGUAAAUUGAUUUUUCUAUUUGCCCUUAACAUGUUACUGAAUAUAGACGACGACUACUAUAAAUGACCAGUAAAACUUUGAUCUUGCUAUACUUACGAUUUAGGCGAUAAAGAUUACAGUUAAUUCAUGUAAAUAUGUGCCCCGAUUCGGGAUUUGUUGAAAAGACCUCCGAAAAUCCAACACGCCAAAGUAAUCGAUAAUACAAUGCUUGCAGGCAUCCACCGCACAAAAAAUCUUCUUUCACAGCAUGUCAAAACUUUGACCUUUCAAAUCCACGCUCUGUCGGAGAAUUAUCAUAUUAUCAUUUCUUUCAAUGGACGCAUGCUAUCAAAAGAGAAAAAAAGAUGGACAUUUACUUGACGGAGGAAGCAACUUUUGCCCUUUAAUAAGUGUUUUGGGGUUCAGUGAAAAUCCAAGAGGGAUAUGAUGGAACAGGAAGAAAGUCUACAAUGUACUGGAAGAUUGCUGCCAAGUUAAAGGAAAUGGGGAUCAAGUUCGAUUUGAGAAAGAGUGGCAUGUUGGUACAAUCUGCUAGGAUGUUUAGUAAGCAGUUGUGUUCAGCUUCAGGAUGAGUAGUAAAAUUGAGAGAGUGGAUAGCAACUUAAGAAUACAAUGUGCUGAGCGUCAUGUUGGUUCAGUCGGCCAGAAUGUUAAGAAGCAGUGGUGUUCAGCUUCAGGAUGAGUAGUAAAAUUGAGAGAGUGGAUAGCAACAUAAGAAUACAGUGUGCUGGCUCUUUGCUAGUUGACUCAUUUGCAUAAUUCAUCAGACCAUGGUCUCAUCACAAUGAUGAUAAUGAAUAUUCAAUGUCAGAGACUUGAAAUUGCAAAAAUCAGGAAACUGCUGAAAUGACACCACAGCAAAAGCAACUUGUAGAAAGCAUAUAUAUGGGUUUCACCACAGUAAUUUUUGCACAUUGUAA